UAUGGUAAUUGUGGCCGCGGUAAUACGUAGGGGGCAAGCGUUAUCCGGAUUUACUGGGUGUAAAGGGAGCGUAGACGGCAAGGCAAGUCUGAUGUGAAAACCCAGGGCUUAACCCUGGGACUGCAUUGGAAACUGUCUGGCUCGAGUGCCGGAGAGGUAAGCGGAAUUCCUAGUGUAGCGGUGAAAUGCGUAGAUAUUAGGAAGAACACCAGUGGCGAAGGCGGCUUACUGGACGGUAACUGACGUUGAGGCUCGAAAGCGUGGGGAGCAAACAGG
rnacentral:rRNA from 1 species